rnacentral:rRNA from 1 species
GAUUCGCCCUUCGGGGUGCACCAGGCGCGAAAACUCUACAAUGCAGGCAACUGCGAUAGGGGAACAUCGAGUGAUCCUCAUAUUGGGGGUCUGUCCACUCGCCUAAAAAGCGGGUGUUAGCAAGGGCCGGGCAAGACCGGUGCCAGCCGCCGCGGUAAUACCGGCGGCUCGAGUGGUGGCCGAUAUUAUUGAGUCUAAAGGGUCCGUAGCCGGCUUUGCAAGUCUCUCGGGAAAUCCAGCGGCUUAACCGUUGGUCGUCCGGGGGGUACUACAUUGCUUGGGACUGGGAGAGGUAGGAGGUACUCAGGGGGUAGGAGUGAAAUCCUGUAAUCCUUUGGGGACCACCGGUGGCGAAGGCGUCCUACCAGAACAGGUCCGACGGUGAGGGACGAAAGCUAGGGGCACGAACCGGAUUAGAUACCCGGGUAGUCCUAGCCGUAAACGAUGCUCGCUAGGUGUCACAACAGUCGUGAACUGUUGUGGUGCCGUAGGGAAGCCGUGAAGCGAGCCACUUGGGAAGUACGACCGCAAGGUUGAAACUUAAAGGAAUUGGCGGGGGAGCAC